rnacentral:rRNA from 1 species
GACGAACGCUGGCGGCGUGCCUGAUACAUGCAAGUCGAGCGGAAGUUGAAGAGCUUGCUCUUCAACUUUAGCGGCGGACGGGUGAGUAACACGUGGGCAACCUGCCCUGCAGAUCGGGAUAACUCCGGGAAACCGGUGCUAAUACCGAAUAGUUUUCGCCACCUCCUGGUGGCGUACGGAAAGACGGUUUCGGCUGUCACUGCAGGAUGGGCCCGCGGCGCAUUAGCUAGUUGGUGGGGUAACGGCCCACCAAGGCGACGAUGCGUAGCCGACCUGAGAGGGUGAUCGGCCAAACUGGGACUGAGACACGGCCCAGACUCCUACGGGAGGCAGCAGUAGGGAAUCUUCCGCAAUGGACGAAAGUCUGACGGAGCAACGCCGCGUGAGUGACGAAGGUUUUCGGAUCGUAAAACUCUGUUGUGAGGGAAGAACAAGUACCAACUAACUACUGGUACCUUGACGGUACCUCACCAGAAAGCCACGGCUAACUACGUGCCAGCCGCCGCAGUAAUAC